rnacentral:rRNA from 1 species
CGGGAGUCUUGCGCACUGGGCGGAGCCUGACGCAGCGACGCCGCGUGAGUGAUGAUGCUCUUCGGGUCUGUAACCCCUUUUGGUGGGGACGAUUGUGGUGGGGCCCAUUGGAUUAGGCCUGGGCUAUUCCGUGGCAAGAAGCCCCGGUAUCAAUC